UCUUCAGACCAAGAUGUCACAUCCUGAGAUCGAUAAUGUUUUCAGACACUUUUAGUAAAAAUCUGAGC